UGUUUUGAAUUCUUAUUUACUAGUUCAAAAAGAUUUGGACUUUAUUAAAGAUUUCAUGUUAGUAAUAAUGCCCUUACAAAUAACAAAAUGUACGCUCUUUCUUUCUAACUUAUUGCAAUACAAAGUCAUAUUUAUUGCAAGUAAAAUCUUGGUCAUAUUUUUCCACUUGAAUGCUAAAUGCUCUUUUUUGGAAAGAGAAUAACAG
rnacentral:lncRNA from 1 species